GUUGCCGGCUGCCCGGAGGGGCCGCGUCCGGGGAUUCAGCGGGUCACCGGGGUCAGCUCCCUGCCCGGACCGACCCGGUUCUUAGGCCUCUGCUUGGCACCUCACAGGACGGCCAGGAGGACCAAACCCGGGAAUGGCGGGAAGCGGAUGUCUUCUCAGUCUAAUCCUCCCAUCCAAUCCUCUGGGAAGCCUUUCAGGAUGCCCCACCCCGACUUAUCGCUGCCUUCUCUGAACUGCCAGCAAUGG
rnacentral:lncRNA from 1 species